UACGUAGGGGGCAAGCGUUGUCCGGAAUUAUUGGGCGUAAAGCGCGCGCAGGCGGUCUUUUAAGUCGGGUGUUUAAGCCCGGGGCUCAACCCCGGUUCGCAUCUGAAACUGGAAGGCUUGAGUUUUGAAGAGGAGAGUGGAAUUCCACGUGUAGCGGUGAAAUGCGUAGAUAUGUGGAGGAACACCAGUGGCGAAGGCGACUCUCUGGUCUGUAACUGACGCUGAGGCGCGAAAGCGUGGGGAGCAAACAGG
rnacentral:misc_RNA from 1 species